UUGCCCUACGGGACGCAGCAGUGAGGGAUAUUGGGCAAUGGGGGAAACCCUGACCCAGCGACGCCGCGUGAGGGAAGACGGUCUUCGGAUUGUAAACCUCUGUCUUUGGGGACGAAAAAGGACGGUACCUGAGGAGGAAGCCACGGCUAACUACGUGCCAGCAGCCGCGGUAAUACGUAGGUGGCGAGCGUUGUCCGGAUUUACUGGGUGUAAAGGGAGCGUAGGCGGCGAUGCAAGUCAGAAGUGAAAGCCCGGGGCUCAACUCCGGGACUGCUUUUGAAACUGUGUUGCUAGAUUGCAGGAGG
rnacentral:rRNA from 1 species